GAUGAAUGCUGGCGGCGUGCCUAACACAUGCAAGUCGAGCGGCAGCGAGGGGUGCUUGCACCCUGUCGGCGAGCGGCGAACGGCUGAGUAACGCGUAGGAAUUUGCCCCAAAGUGAGGAAUAACUGCCCGAAAGGGUAGCUAAUGCCGCAUAUGGUCUUCGGAUUAAAGGAUUUAUCCGCUUUGGGAGAAGCCUGCGUUGGAUUAGGUUGUUGGUAGGGUAAUGGCCUACCAAGCCGACGAUCCAUAGCUGGUCUGAGAGGAUGAUCAGCCAGACUGGAACUGAGACACGGUCCAGACUCCUACGGGAGGCAGCAGUGAGGAAUCUUCCACAAUGGGCGAAAGCCUGAUGGAGCAACGCCGCGUGAAGGAUGAAGGCCUUCGGGUUGUAAACUUCUUUUAUGAGUGAAGAAUAUGACGGCAACUCAUGAAUAAGCACCGGCUAACUACGUG
rnacentral:rRNA from 1 species